rnacentral:rRNA from 1 species
CUCGAAAGGGAUGCUAAUACCGCAUAAUGUCGUAAGACCAAAGAUUUAUCGCCCAAGGAUGAGCCCGCGUAAGAUUAGUCUAGUUGUGGGGUAAAAGCCUACCAAGGCGACGAUCUUUAGCUGGUCUGAGAGGAUGAUCAGCCACACUGGGACUGAGACACGGCCCAGACUCCUACGGGAGGCAGCAGUGGGGAAUAUUGGACAAUGGGCGAAAGCCCUGAUCCAGCAAUGCCGCGUGAGUGAUGAAGGCCCUAGGGUUGUAAAGCUCUUUUACCAGGGAUGAUAAUGACAGUACCUGGAGAAUAAGCUCCGGCUAACUCCGUG